CCUACGGGCGGCAGCAGUGGGGGAUAUUGGACAAUGGGGGGAACCCUGAUCCAGCGACGCCGCGUGAGUGAAGAAGUAUCUCGGUAUGUAAAGCUCUAUCAGCAGGGAAGAAGAAAUGACGGUACCUGAGUAAGAAGCCCCGGCUAACUACGUGCCAGCAGCCGCGGCAAUACGUAGGGGGCAAGCGUUAUCCGGAUUUACUGGGUGUAAAGGGGGCGCAGACGGCAAUGCAAGCAAGGAGUGAAAGCCUGGGGCCCAACCCCGGGACUGCUCUUGGAACUGCAUGGCUGGAGUACAGGAGGGGCAGGCGGAAUGCCUAGUGUAGCAGUGAAAUGCGUAGAUAUUAGGAGGAACACCGGUGGCGAAGGCGGCCUGCUGGACUGUGACUGACGUUGAGGCCCGAAGGCGUGGGGAGCGAACAGGAUUAGAUACCCUUGUAGUC
rnacentral:rRNA from 1 species